GCACUGUGGGCUGAAAUUCGGCUCUCAUUGACAUAGAAACCGAAGUUGUUAUUUUUAUGUUUUUUUGAUUGAAAUAGGUUUUGCUAGGCAUUGUUAUGGUAACCUAUGAAUUUUAGAUGAUUUGGAAUGAAAAUGAAGCAGGAACAAGAAAUCAUUAUUACUCAAGAACCGCAAAACAAACCGUAAUAUCCUCGCAGGUGGUUAUACUACGAAUUAUUUGUGAUUUUUUGGCAUACUACAUAGACCCGUCACGGGUGCGGUUUUUUUUAAAAAUCAUUAUUGUUUCUAUGGAAAAAGCACAAAAACCAAAGUCAACAUUUUAAGAUUUUUUUAUUGAAAUGGGUUUUGCUUAGUGUGUUUAUGCUAAUAAGUUUCAGACGAUUUGAGUUGAAAAUAGUAGAGUUAUGAUUUUUUUUUCAAAAAGAAUGUAUGGAGCCGGAACAAAAAAUCAAAAUAUCUCAAGAACCGCAACAAAUACGCUAGUCAUAAAUAAUUCGUAGUAUAACCAUCUGCGAGGAUAUUACCGUAUUUGUUGCGGUUCUUGAGAUAUUUUGAUUUUUUGUUCCGGCU